UGCCAGUGAUGAUUUGCCAUGCUAAUACCGAUGCACCAGGCUGGACCUCAUGGUCAUAUGCUUUGGGUGCAGCUGAGUUAAAAUUUGCUUCUCGCAAUACUUGUGGGAUCUGAGGCAU
ensembl:snoRNA